UUGCUGCUCAUACCCUUUUCCUUAUAUAUUGUGAGUGGAAGGACAGAUUAGAGAAGAGAAGACAUAUAAAUUAUUAUUUAGUUAAUACAGAUAGAAAUGGUAGCAUGUGCUCAAAAAGCACUUGCAUUCGAAGAAAGAUAGAUGUAAAAGAUGGUGCAAGAGUCGAAGAGGCUUAAAAGAGAAGCCAUGAAGAAUUCAAAGGAAGAUGUGGUUUCAGCUUUGUGAGUUUUGAUUUGGGAUCGGGUUACUGACCCCAUUAAUCCUCGAUUAGGGUCAUCUCUAGCAACAUGAAAGAAACGAUCCAAGAAUGUGUUUAUGAGUACAUCAGUUUUGUGACGGGUGAGUCAAAUAGUCUUGCCAAAGUAAAU